GCUUAACCGGAGAAGUGCAUCGGAAACUGGAUAACUUGAGUGCAGAAGAGGACAGUGGAACUCCAUGUGUAGCGGUGGAAUGCGUAGAUAUAUGGAAGAACACCAGUGGCGAAGGCGGCUGUCUAGUCUGUAACUGACGCUGAGGCUCGAAAGCAUGGGUAGCGAACAGGAUUAGAUACCCUGGUAGUCCAUGCCGUAAACGAUGAGUGCUAAGUGUUGGAGGGUUUCCGCCCUUCAGUGCUGCAGCUAACGCAUUAAGCACUCAGCCUGGGGAGUACGACCGCAAGGUUGAAACUCAAAGGAAUUGACGGGGGCCCGCACAAGCGGUGGAGCAUGUGGUUUAAUUCGAAGCUACGCGAAGAACCUUACCAGGUCUUGACAUCUUCUGCCAAUCUUAGAGAUAAGACGUUCCCUUCGGGGACAGAAUGACAGGUGGUGCAUGGUUGUCGUCAGCUCGUGUCGUGAGAUGUUGGGUUAAGUCCCGCAACGAGCGCAACCCUUAUUAUCAGUUGCCAGCAUUCAGUUGGGCACUCUGGUGAGACUGCCGGUGACAAACCGGAGGAAGGUGGGCAUGACGUCAAAUCAUCAUGCCCCUUAUGACCUGGGCUACACACGUGCUACAAUGGACGGUACAACG
rnacentral:rRNA from 1 species